rnacentral:lncRNA from 1 species
UGAACCUGGCGUUUGGGUCUGCAAGAGAUUCACAGCCAUUUGAAUGCAGAAAUACUCAGAAAUGCAAUAUCACACUUUACUUUUUUUCAUGAUAUGUCCUGUAGCAUCAGAAAAAUGAACAUAUGAACAUGUAAACAACAAGAGAAACAUGAUUUUCAUCAGAGUGGGUCUUUAAACACCAGAAACAUCACUGAAAGACUUCUGAAGAUGAAUCAUGUGCCUGAUAGAAAAUGUCCCAUUAACAAAGCACCACCGUUAAUUAUCAGUAAUAUGUAAAAGCUGAGCAGCGACUAGAUUAAGAGCUUUAAACCAAACGUCUCCCUGACACGUCGUCCUCAGGUUUGUGUUGGAAAUACAGGCAGGGGUGCAGCUGAACAAAGUGAGUGAAUCAUUGGCUAUGUAACAAAGAGCUGAACCUGCACACUCAUGUCCUGACGUAAAUGAUUUAUAAAAAGACUUCAACUUUUCAGGAGGCGCCCGCGCUCACCCCUUUGCUCACUUUCCAUUUCAGGUGAUAUUUUCCGUUUCCUGGGUAAUCAUUUCAUAAUAAUAUGACUCGUACGUGCUAACUUAAACUCACACAGUGUUGAUUUGAUGGCUUUUCUCUCAUGCUACCUUUAAUAAUUUGCAUGACCAGGAAAGGAAAACAUUUAGCAUAAGUGGAAAUACAUUAAAAAAAAUAAUCUAUGCUAAAUAAUCCUCUGCAGCCCCCCCUGAUCUCUCUGGGACUUGAUACUGAUUUUUACGGAUGUCGUCAUUCAUUCAGUUUUUCCCCCCAAUGAAUACUUUAUAGGGUCAUGUGAUGCGCCUGCUGCACUGAAUAGAAAGACGAGUCAAGAGUUCAUCAUGGGAUUAGAGCAGAUAUACAGUACAGGCAAUGAGUGACAACAUAACGUAACCAAUCCAUCUGAAUUGUAUAAGGAAGCUCGGGGCGACUCUGCUUGAACCCGCUAACCCCACACACAUUUUGUCAACGAGCGAGUCACGGAUGAAGAAAAUUCAAACUAAACCACCCCACAGUCGAUGGAAGUGAGAUCUCACUACCUGUUGGAUGGACAUUGCAAUUCCUGAAAUGUCAUACUCGGCAUUAUCGGUAUGAAUAUUUAAAGAGGUGCAAAGAUUGUUCCUCAUGUGUUCGACGUUAUGAUGGUUUUGUUAAAUCUGGAGCUCAGGAGCGUACGUGACAACAUGCAAAUCGACUGUGGCAUCCAACUGUAGCUACAUUCGACGAUUAACACCAAAGUCAUGAUUUCUAACAACGCAAGAUCAUUUACUUUAAACUUAAGCUCUGAUAUUUAAAACAAGGUUUAUUUUCGAUCAAAAAGUAGGCCACGUGGAUCGUCUUAUUCACUGCUUCUUGAAUAUUUGACUCAAUUUAUGAGUAUCAGUCAAGAAUACCGACGGUUAAACCAUCAUCUGGAGGGCUAGUAAGUUUAACAAACAACCCCUUGCCAGUGUGUUUACUGAGGAUGGUCCAAAAGCCCUAAAGCUCCAUAAAGCUUCAGCUGCCCAUCAAAACCUCAUCUGUUGGACUUCCUGCUGGGUCUUAGAUCUCUUUUAAAGCCUCAUGUUUUCAGAAAUAGCUGCUCCAAGGAUGAAGCAUGAUGGGGCUUUACUAGAGGAGGAAGAGCUACUGCCUUGCAAACAUAUAUGAGGCUUACGUGUCGUGAUAUAUUGGAAUAGAUAAAAGUUAAAUAAUGAACCCAUAAAACUGAUUAUCUAAUUUUUAUGGCAAGCUCAUGCAAGAAUAGAGUACAAGUAUCUGGUCACCAGUCCUGCUCUCUGUACGGGUUGGGAUCCAGUGUCUUGCUCAAGGACACUGAAACAGAUAUGGACUCACUCUGCAGCCAAGGUCCGGACCUCUGAGCCCCCAGGUGAAGGGACAGGUCUCCUCAUGCUCCGGAUGUCAUCCAUCACAUCCAAAACCCAACUUUAGCCCGGCCUGGGAAGCUCUUAUUCUUAGAACGGGCCGCUGUGAUGUCAUGGCAGGACCGGGAUUGACAGAUAGCGUUGGGGGUAUGUGCGGCAUGCUGAGCACCCGGGGGGCUCUCAUGGCCGUUCUUCCUGUCUGCGGCUUGGCCUUUCGUGGUUCUAAAGCCAAGGAUUAAAGGCCACAGGAAACUACCGGUGCUAAUUUUAGAAGGCAUGUAGAUGGGCCUGGCAGAACCCUUCAGCACCUUCAUCACAUCCGCACAGCGGCAGUGACAGGGCAGGCCAUACUGGGAUCUGGAAACACGUAUGGCUGGGUCAUGGCGAGGGCUGUAAAGGGGGGGUCGGCAUGUGGACAUGUGGUCAGAUGACUGAUAGGCGUGGAGUUAAAUGUACAGUGGUGGGGCGAUCAGCUGGCAGACUAAAAAAGCACUGCUCUGGGGUCAGCAUUGGAGGGUAGAGAGAUUCAACAGUGAAACUUCAGAGUCCCCUCAGACCCGGGACUUUUCUGUAAUUCAAUGAUACUGAGAUCUUCAGUGGUGUAAAACGCUGUUUGGAACAACCAGAUCCACCGCGAGUGUUGAAGGUUAGAUCCCACUCAUAUACCAAGGCUUUAAUCCUUGAAGUAGGCAGCUUAGGUUGGACUUAGACCUGAGCUGGAUGGAAACAUUUAUUCCUCUAAAUCCUGUUUGUUUUGUUCAGCAUCAACGGUCCGCUCUCAGAUGUGUAAGCCACUAAUGCGUUGGUCUCCAGCAGUUCUGCGUCAUGUUUUCCUCUUUGCAUGGCACAGUUUCAAUCAGCCUCUGUGGAUGAGUUGACAAACUGUGUCGAUACAAAUGCAGUGAUUUCCACUACAGAGCCAUCAGCUUUUAAUGCAGUGGCAAAUGAGGGCCCAAAGGUCAUGGCCAUUCAUGGUUUUCAGGGUUUUGUUGCCCCUGUCCCAGCUUUUUUGAAACCUGUUGCAGGCAUGAGGUUGAAAAUGAAAAGUUUCUAGUUCGUUUGUGCAUCUGAUAUGUUUUCUUUGCACUAUUUUAAGUUAAUAAUAGGGUUUGAGUUAUUAGCAAGCUCUCUCGAUCAACAUUUCAAACAGGGUCCCAACUUUUCUAGACAGUCUGGCCGCAGACUUCCACUGUCAGGACCCUUUUGUUGCAGAAUGGUCAACUGCCACUGAGCAGACCGUGUGUUGAUUUGAAGCCUUUCAAAAUAAAAGUAAAUAUACCGGGAGAAUGCUUUUUUUUUAUUAAUUUUUUUAUUUAUUUAAGAAGUAUUUUAUUUUAUUUUUUUACAUUGGAAGUUGAUUUGAAGCCUUUUAAAAUAAAAGCAAAUAUAUUAAGAGAAUUAAAAAAAUAUAUAUUUAUUUUUUCAGGAAGUUGAUUUGAAGUCUUUCAAAUUAAAAGCAAAUAUACCAGAAGUAUUUAUUUAUUUUAACUUUGGAAGUUGUGUCAAAGCCUUUCAAAUUAAAAGCAAAUUUACCGGGAGUACUUUUUUUUUUUUUUUUUUUUAAUGUUUGAAGUUUUUUCAAAGCCUUUUAGAUUAAAAGCGAUUAGACUUGGAAGUAUGUUUUGUCUUGUGUGAAUAUAUUUAAGUUCCCUGGGCUUGUAUUUUUUUGUGUAUUCAUGUGUUCAACAAGACAAAAUACAAAACGGGAUGAAGACUUUAAACAAACUCAAGCGCCUGAGAAAAAACAUCAUCGGGUCCUCUCAGUGGAGGUCUACAGUCAGACCCCUCUAAACUUUUUUGGAGUUUGGGAUAAUGUGUGUUGCUGGAAAAUAAUGAUGAAACUUGGCUGUGUGAUUAAUAUCAACUCAUGUUUGAUCUUGUUGUAACCGGUGGGAGUUGGUGCAGUGAGGAUAGAUCUAUAGCCACCUACACACACACUGUUUCACAGAAGGGAGGGUGGAAAAAAAACAGCAAAUUGCAAAAAGAAUUAUUAAAAUGUCAACAUGCCAAAUAUUGGAACAAUAACACGACAACUGCUAUAGUGAACUUAGAAUGAGACUGUUUAGUAUUCGGAGAAGGAAUGGCUCACCGCUCCAGGUGCUUGCGAACGACACCAUCCUUCGGUUGGAGCAGCUAAGACGCUAGUGCGUGGGGAAUUUUGUGUAACUGAGAGGAGCUGAAAAGUAACUUUAAAAGUCUGAAAUCAGCACCUGGAGGAGUAGCUGUUGAACAGAGUCAGUCUACUUCCCUGCUGAGGGCUGUUGAAACCAACACUUAUUUUAGUUAGUACAAGUUGCAAAGCAGCAUCUUGAAGUGUUGAAAAUGCUGCAUCCGCUCCAUGAUUGAAUACAAACAUGGGUGGGUGUGGGUGUGGAGCGCGGCUGCCCCACUUCUCACUGCCUUCCUGGCCAUGAAAAUAAAGGCAAGAGGUUGUGGGGCUAAACUUGGCGCGCCUGCUAAUCCUCUGCUAACGGUUCCUGUCCCUCUUACCCUCAAGCGACAGCGUGUUGACAGCCGCCUCCACCCCUUUCACCUCCUCCACCCCCACCAACCCCCUUCCUCCAUCAGCUCCCCCCCUGCACCCCCAACCCACCUGUCUCAUGUCACAUUGCUUCCCCCCCAUAUCCACUCCAGCAAUUUCCUGUUGCCCUCUCAGAUAGUGUUACAAGUCCCAAAACUGCAAAGGCAGACACACACACAAACACACACACACUUGCACUGCCUGCAGGCUCACUCUAAUAGACAUUAAGAGGGACACACACUCACACACCAACGCGUAUACACACACAUUCAUUCUUGCAUGCCAGCCAUGCUAUCAUUUUCACUGCCAAUCCUCACAAUCUCAACGCUUACACCAUUGCACUUUCCAACUCUCUCUCUCUCUCUCACACACACAAACACACACACUCGCUCUCUGUUUCUCUCUCUCUCUCUCUCUCUCUCUGACCAGAUUAUUAAUCCGGCUCAGGGAACAGGCUGUGACCAAAAACCUCGUCGGAAGCAACAGAUGGACUGCCUCACAAAAAAACAACGAAACCCCCAAACACUUCCUGUCGGAUUUGCACACAUGCAGAUCAGAAACACACACACACACACAGACCAGCCUGUAACACCUCUCAUGAA